rnacentral:lncRNA from 1 species
CUCCUCGACUAUUCACGGCAAUCAGAGUAGUUACCGCUAGGCAGAAGAUGGAUUUUCAAUUUGGGAGGCUAAACGCUUCCGCAUUGGCUCUUGGAUCCGCUAGCAGGGUUGGGAGAAGAUGUAUUCUUUAGAGGUACCCAUUUAUCCCAAUCUUGUGUGUGAAUUUUUUGAGAACUUGAGGCUUGAUGGAGAGUUUGAUGUUGAGUCCAUGGUG